CGCAGGGCGGGUGCUACCAUGCAGUCGAACGGAAAGGCCCUUCGGGGUACUCGAGUGGCGAACGGGUGAGUAACACGUGGGUGAUCUGCCCUGCACUUUGGGAUAAGCCUGGGAAACUGGGUCUAAUACCGAAUAUGAUCAUCGGCUUCAUGGUCGGUGGUGGAAAGCUUUUGCGGUGUGGGAUGGGCCCGCGGCCUAUCAGCUUGUUGGUGGGGUAAUGGCCUACCAAGGCGACGACGGGUAGCCGGCCUGAGAGGGUGACCGGCCACACUGGGACUGAGAUACGGCCCAGACUCCUACGGGAGGCAGCAGUGGGGAAUAUUGCACAAUGGGCGCAAGCCUGAUGCAGCGACGCCGCGUGAGGGAUGACGGCCUUCGGGUUGUAAACCUCUUUCAGCACAGACGAAGCGCAAGUGACGGUAUGUGCAGAAGAAGGACCGGCCAACUACGUGCCAGCAGCCGCGGUAAUACGUAGGGUCCGAGCGUUGUCCGGAAUUACUGGGCGUAAAGAGCUCGUAGGUGGUUUGUCGCGUUGUUCGUGAAAACUCACAGCUUAACUGUGGGCGUGCGGGCGAUACGGGCAGACUAGAGUACUGCAGGGGAGACUGGAAUUCCUGGUGUAGCGGUGGAAUGCGCAGAUAUCAGGAGGAACACCGGUGGCGAAGGCGGGUCUCUGGGCAGUAACUGACGCUGAGGAGCGAAAGCGUGGGGAGCGAACAGGAUUAGAUACCCUGGUAGUCCACGCCGUAAACGGUGGGUACUAGGUGUGGGUUUCCUUCCUUGGGAUCCGUGCCGUAGCUAACGCAUUAAGUACCCCGCCUGGGGAGUACGGCCGCAAGGCUAAAACUCAAAGGAAUUGACGGGGGCCCGCACAAGCGGCGGAGCAUGUGGAUUAAUUCGAUGCAACGCGAAGAACCUUACCUGGGUUUGACAUGCACAGGACGCUGGUAGAGAUAUCAGUUCCCUUGUGGCCUGUGUGCAGUGGUGCAUGGCUGUCGUC
rnacentral:rRNA from 1 species